AUUGAACGCUGGCGGCAUGCCUUACACAUGCAAGUCGAACGGCAGCGGGCCCUUCGGGGUGCCGGCGAGUGGCGAACGGGUGAGUAAUGCAUCGGAACGUACCCGGGAGAGGGGGAUAACCGGCCGAAAGGCUGGCUAAUACCGCAUGAACUCGGAAGAGCAAAGCGGGGGACCUUCGGGCCUCGCGCUCUCGGAGCGGCCGAUGUCCGAUUAGGCUAGUUGGUGGGGUAAAGGCCCACCAAGGCGACGAUCGGUAGCGGGUCUGAGAGGACGAUCCGCCACACUGGGACUGAGACACGGCCCAGACUCCUACGGGAGGCAGCAGUGGGGAAUCUUGGACAAUGGGCGCAAGCCUGAUCCAGCAAUGCCGCGUGGGUGAAGAAGGCCUUCGGGUUGUAAAGCCCUUUCGGCGGGGAAGAAAUCGGUCAGGCGAAUAGUCUGACCGGAUGACGGUACCCGCAGAAGAAGCACCGGCUAACUACGUG
rnacentral:rRNA from 1 species